GAACUGUAAUCGUUAGCUUCUAACUAACUUUAUGAGUAAACUCAACAGUUCU
rnacentral:tRNA from 1 species